rnacentral:rRNA from 1 species
CCUACGGGAGGCAGCAGUCGGGAAUUUUGGGCAAUGGGCGAAAGCCUGACCCAGCAACGCCGCGUGGAGGAUGAAGUUUUUCGGAAUGUAAACUCCGUAAGAAUGGGAAGAAUAAGGGGGAGCUAACACCUCCCCCGAUGACGGUACCAUUCGUAAGCUCCGGCUAACUCCGUGCCAGCAGCCGCGGUAAUACGGGGGGAGCAAGCGUUGUUCGGAUUUACUGGGCGUAAAGGGCGCGUAGGCGGCGCAACAAGUCACUUGUGAAAUCUCCGGGCUUAACUCGGAGCGGCCAAGUGAUACUGUCGUGCUAGAGUGCAGAAGGGGCGACUGGAAUUCUCGGUGUAGCGGUGAAAUGCGUAGAUAUCGAGAGGAACACCUGUGGCGAAGGCGGGUCGCUGGGCUGACACUGACGCUGAGGCGCGAAAGCUAGGGGAGCGAAC